UGUGUAGGCGGUUGUUUAAGUUUGGUGUGAAAUCUCCCGGCUUAACUGGGAGGGUGCGCCGAAUACUGAAUGACUCGAGUGCGGGAGAGGAAAGUGGAAUUCCUGGUGUAGCGGUGAAAUGCGUAGAUAUCAGGAGGAACACCGGUGGUGUAGACGGCUUUCUGGACCGUAACUGACGCUGAGACACGAAAGCGUGGGUAGCAAACAGGAUUAGAUACCCUGGUAGUCCACGCCCUAAACGAUGCAUAUUUGGUGUGGGCAGUUCAUUCUGUCCGUGCCGGAGCUAACGCGUUAAAUAUGCCGCCUGGGGAGUACAGUCGCAAGGCUGAA
rnacentral:rRNA from 1 species